rnacentral:lncRNA from 1 species
GGCUUUUUCCAGCUAAAUUAAAGUAAAUAAAUCUUUUUUUUUUCCCAAAAUAGGAUCAUGGCCUAUAAAAUGCUUCAAGUAGUCCUGUGCUCAACAUUGCUUAUCGGAAUAUCUGUAUGAUAAUCAGAAUAACUGAUGCAAGAUGUGUUCUACACACUCAGAGAUCAUGACUUGUGUUUCCUUUUCUUGAAGGCUCGUGAAACAUGGAUUGCUUUGAAAACAACAGCACAGUAUUAUUUGGAUAUGAAUACCUUCACCUUUGACAUGUCUACUGCCCAGUAAAUAUGUUUUCCUGGUUAAAGCAGGAGGAUGAAGAUGGCAGAGGUUGGAAUGGCAUUGUGCCAAAACCAUGGGUUUUAGAGAUCUGAGGGUAUAUCCAUGCUGUUUACUACAUUAUUUAUUAUGUCUGUCUCAAAGUUGUUGAAAACAGUAGUUAUGAAAACCCAUGUAGGAAACUGGAAUAAGACAUUCUCAAUAAAUGGUAGUUCUCAAAAAAAGAACUAAAAAAAAAAAAGGCUGUAGUAAUAACAUUUACCAAAACGAUGGCAUUUAUGGGAAAAGGAAAGCAAAAACAUAAACAAAGAAAAGUAGUUUCAUUAAACCACUCUGUUCAUAGCUUUUACUCUCUAUUGCCUCUUCUUUGAGAGAGUUUUUUAAUUCAAAGAAGGACAGGGAGCUCUCAAAUGGAGCUGAUCCUCUUCUCUCUUCUUCAGUGCUUGUCGCAUUCUUAAGUCAGUCGAUUUUAAAACCAUGACUUUGAAACGUUUUUCAUCAAAGGUGUACUGCUGAGUGGAGAAUACAGCCUUACCUUAAUACAACAAGUAGAUAGUGGCUAGGAACUCAAUGGAAGUCAUUCACUUGUAAGUGCAAACUUCUUCCAAGUUUUGUAAAAUUUUUGUAAGCUUUGCAUUCUGUUCCACAAUUUAUUGAUGUUUGUUUUAAUGUGAAAUAACAGUUUUGACUCACUGGCCAGGCACAUUUUAUAAUUUUUUCAAUUAAAACUGAAAAAUUGGCCAUAGGGAAAAGUGGACUGCAUUUAUCCUAUAACUUUCCUAAUAUUCAUGGAUUACCACCUCAGUUUGAGAAGCAUUGAGAUGAUACAACUAAUUGCCAAGAUUGCCCCCCAAAAUCACAGGUAAAUGGAAUUUUUGUCUUCAGAAGUCUAUUUAUCUCCAUUCUCUAUUCUCUAUUUUAGUUGUUCUCUCGAACAAUUUAUUUUUACCUUUUAAGGUAAAUGGAAACAUUUCCCUAAGACCUUAGUUGAUCUUAUGUGGUCUUAAAACAAUCUUAAGCACUUUUUGAGUGGCAAGUAAAUCAGAAAAACCAAAUGCCAAGAAGUUGACUGGAAGGACUUUGGCCUCAGCAAUUUCUUCUCCAAAAGGACACUGACAGCUGCUCAGUGUUUCACAUUUCCCAUCCUAUGGCCUAGAGGUGUUUUCAGUGAGAAAUUUAAGGCUAAUUUAUAACUUAUUAAGUUAACUGCUAUCCAUUUCCAAUAAAUAUGAACAUAGAUUUUUAAAUUACAUCUGAACAAACAAAACAAAGAUGAU